AAUCGAACUCGGAGAUAGCUGGUUCUCCCCGAAAUAGCUUUAGGGCUAGCGUCGAGGUAAAGUCGUGUGAAGGUAGAGCACUGAAUAUGUGAUGGCCCCAUCCCGGGGUACUGAAUAUAAUCAAACUCCGAAUGUCACAAAGAUAUACUCGGCAGUCAGACAGUGGGUGAUAAGGUCCAUUGUCAAAAGGGAAACAGCCCAGACCAUCAGCUAAGGUCCCAAAAUAUAUACUAAGUGGAAAAGGAUGUGGAGAUGUCCAGACAACUAGGAGGUUGGCUCAGAAGCAGCCAUCCUUUAAAGAGUGCGUAACAGCUCACUAGUCGAAUGACUCUGCGCCGAUAAUUUACCGGGGCUAAGUAUAUUACCGAAGCUAUGGAUUUACGCAGAAGCGUGAGUGGUAGGGGAGCGUUCUAUGUACAGAGAAGCGGUACCGGAAGGAGCCGUGGAGAGCAUAGAAGAGAGAAUGCCGGUGUGAGUAGCGGAACGCGGGUGAGAAUCCCGCGCACCGAAAACCCAAGGUUUCCAGAGGAAGGUUCGUCCGCUCUGGGUAAGUCGGGACCUAAGGCGAGGCCGAGAGGCGUAGUCGAUGGACAACAGGUAGAGAUUCCUGUACUUACGGUAUGAAUGAAGGAGUGACGGAGAAGGCUAGCGGAUCCUGCUGCUGGAAUAGCAGGUGCAAGCGAGGUAGCUGACAGCCAGGCAAAUCCGGCUGUCGAAAGGCGAAGACGUGAAGCGGAUGGAAAGCUGAGGCAAGUACAGAAGUCCGUGAAGCAGGCUUCCAAGAAAAGCUUCUAGUGUUAAUCAUACAGUAACCCGUACCGAAAAUGGACACACAUGGGUGAGGAGAGAAUCCUAAGGUGAGCGAGAGAACUAUAGCUAAGGAACUCUGCAAAAUGACUCCGUAACUUAGGGAUAAGGAGUGCUCAUAGAGAUAUGAGCCGCAGUGAAACGGCCCAAGCGACUGUUUACCAAAAACACAGCUCUAUGCUAAGUCGAAAGACGACGUAUAUGGGGUGACGCCUGCCCGGUGCUGGAAGGUUAAGAGGAUGUGUCAGCGAAAGCGAAGCAUUGAAUUGAAGCCCCAGUAAACGGCGGCCGUAACUAUAACGGUCCUAAGGUAGCGAAAUUCCUUGUCAGGUAAGUUCUGACCCGCACGAAAGGCGUAACGAUUUGGGCGCUGUCUCAGCUGUAGACUCGGUGAAGUCUUAGUACCUGUGAAGAUGCAGGUUACCCGCGACUAGACGGAAAGACCCCAUGGAGCUUUACUGCAGCUUGAUAUUGGACUUUGAUGCAAGAUGUACAGGAUAGGUAGGAGACUGAGAGACAUGCACGCCAGUGUGUGAGGAGUCGAUGUUGGGAUACUACUCUUCUUGUAUUGGAGUUCUAACCGGAUGCCAUGGAACUGGCAACGGGACAGUGUCAGGCGGGCAGUUUGACUGGGGCGGUCGCCUCCCAAAGAGUAACGGAGGCGCCCAAAGAUACCCUCAGCUUGGAUGGAAAUCAAGCGCAGAGUGCAAAGGCAUAAGGGUGUUUGACUGCGAGACCAACAAGUCGAGCAGGGACGAAAGUCGGGCUUAGUGAUCCGGCGGUGCUGAAUGGAAAGGCCGUCGCUCAACGGAUAAAAGCUACCCUGGGGAUAACAGGCUGAUCUCCCCCAAGAGUUCACAUCGACGGGGAGGUUUGGCACCUCGAUGUCGGCUCAUCGCAUCCUGGGGCUGAAGUAGGUCCCAAGGGUUGGGCUGUUCGCCCAUUAAAGCGGUACGCGAGCUGGGUUCAGAACGUCGUGAGACAGUUCGGUCCCUAUCUGUCGUGGGCGCAGGAAGUUUGAGAAGAUCUGUCCUCAGUACGAGAGGACCGGGAUGGACAUAUCAAUGGUGCACCAGUUGUCACGCCAGUGGCACAGCUGGGUAGCUAAAUAUGGAAGGGAUAAACGCUGAAGGCAUCUAAGUGUGAAACCCGCUUCAAGAUGAGACUUCCCAUUACGAAAGUAGGUAAGACCCCUUAAAGACGAUAAGGUUGA
rnacentral:rRNA from 1 species